ACAGGUGGUGCAUGGUUGUCGUCAGCUCGUGUCGUGAGAUGUUGGGUUAAGUCCCGCAACGAGCGCAACCCUCGACCUUAGUUGCCAGCAUUCAGUUGGGCACUCUAAGGUGACUGCCGGCUAAAAGUCGGAGGAAGGUGGGGAUGACGUCAAAUCAUCAUGCCCCUUAUGACCUGGGCUACACACGUGCUACAAUGGGCGGUACAAAGGGUCGCGAACCCGCGAGGGGGAGCCAAUCCCAAAAAGCCGCUCUCAGUUCGGAUUGCAGGCUGCAACUCGCCUGCAUGAAGCCGGAAUCGCUAGUAAUCGUGAAUCAGAAUGUCACGGUCGAAUACGUUCCCGGGCCUU
rnacentral:rRNA from 1 species